GUUGGGUGGAUGGAUGGUGGAUGGUAGAUGGAUGAAUAGCAGAUGGUGUUGAUGGAGCACGUGUGUGAGCCACCCUGAGGACAGCAGGCAGCUCAGCCACAGCCCCACCCUCACUGCACGCACAGCAGGCUCGGGAAAACAAGCAAACCCAGCAUCCGGCGUGGUGGACAUCCACCACAGAGCCCCAUGCCAGUGAGGGCACCUUCACGGCCAUGACGGGGAAGUCUCUCAGGAGAAGAGAGGCUCUGCUGGGGGCUGUCAAAUGGGUCUGUGCAUGGAAAUCCUCUGGCUGUUCCUCAAAAAGCUAAGCACAGAGUUAGCAUGCAAGCCAGCAACACCACUGGGUCUAUUUCCAAAGAACUGAAGCAGAUACUUGAAGACUUCCACGUGAAAGUUCAGAACAGCAUCCAUCACCAGAAGCAAAAGGUGCCAAUAGCCC